rnacentral:rRNA from 1 species
UACGGAGGGGGCCAGCGUUGUUCGGAUUCAUUGGGCGUAAAGGGUGCGUAGGUGGCGUGGUAAGUCGGGUGUGAAAUUUCGGAGCUUAACUCCGAAACUGCAUUCGAUACUGCCGUGCUUGAGGACUGGAGAGGAGACUGGAAUUUACGGUGUAGCAGUGAAAUGCGUAGAGAUCGUAAGGAAGACCAGUGGCGAAGGCGGGUCUCUGGACAGUUCCUGACACUGAGGCACGAAGGCCAGGGGAGCAAACGGG